rnacentral:rRNA from 1 species
UACGGAGGGUGCAAGCGUUAAUCGGAAUUACUGGGCGUAAAGCGCGCGUAGGCGGUUAGAUAAGUCGGAUGUGAAAGCCCCGGGCUCAACCUGGGAACUGCAUUCGAUACUGUCUGACUAGAGUAUGAGAGAGGGAGGUAGAAUUCCACGUGUAGCGGUGAAAUGCGUAGAUAUGUGGAGGAAUACCGGUGGCGAAGGCGGCCUCCUGGCUUAAUACUGACGCUGAGGUGCGAAAGCGUGGGGAGCAAACAGG